UUACAAAUUUGUGUUUCAGGUGCCCUAUUACAAUUCACUCCACUCUGAAAAUUGACAAGAAUCUAACCUAUAUGACCAUGAAGAUCCAAUAAGAUUGCCAUGUAAGCCCAGAUAACAUAGUAGCCAAGGCUCUCGUCCACGGCAGAGUGAAAGCAAUCAUACCAGCCUGUCCCACAGCAUUCCCUGCCACUGCAACAUACCCAGUCUCAUCGACAAGCAUGCACAGCCCAGCACAGCUUCCUAGAGAUGCCCACUGUCUCUGCUACUCUGAGUCCUAGAACCAGAGCCCAAAAUGCACAAGAUCUCUUGGCUGAACCCAGCUCUAAGGGCCCCUUCAGGAAGAGGUGGACAGAGUUACAGACACUAAGCUUUUCAAGAACAUGAAAAACUUCCACCAACCUAUGUACAUGGACCUCCAAGGGGCCACAGGGACCUAUCACCCAAGAAGAUCCUCAAUGAUGGCUUGAGGAAGGAAAGGGAGAUAUGCUUCUCUCAAGAGGCUUGUUCCUUUGGCAGUUAUCAAUACUUACUUACUAAACAUGUACUACUGUGCCAGAGAGGUCAAGGAAUCAGAAAUGGUUCCCUCUGAAUUUAUUCUAAUGAUGAGUAAUAAAAUAAAGAUGUGCAGCUACUUACAUAUGUGUUACUUAUAUACAGGUAGAGAGCAUUUUAUACACAAGGUGCUGCACAAGAUGUUCCUUUGGAGCUGGGUAUGAGAACUCAUACCUGUAAAACUAGCUGCUUUCAGAGUCUGGGAUCAAGCCAAUCACUACUCAAGGCCAGCACUGGGGAAAAGUUUGUAAUAUUUCAUAUUAAUCAAAAUGCUGGACAUAGUGAUGUUUACUUGUCAUCCCAGCUACUCAGAAAGUGUAAGUAGGAGAAUCACCAUGGGAGGGGGAAACAACACAAUAUCCUACUUGAAAAAUAAUGGGAACGAAAAUGGCUGGAGGUAUGGUACAAGGCCUCUUAGCAAAUGUAAAGCCCUGAGUUCAAACCCCAGUAUGACCAAAAAUGAAACCGGUUUGUUCCAUCACAGAAAAAAUAAUGAAAUUAUUCUUAAGCAUCUGUCAGGAUAAUGGCUUCUGGAGAAGGAGUAGUAGGGAUAAGACAUUCACAUGAAGUGCAAGAAAAGCCAGGAGGAAGACAAAUAAAAGAAGGGGUAUUUAGGAACUUUGGAUGCCAGGUCGAAAAGGAAAACUAUGAACAAGAGACAUGAAGGAUAAAGCAAAAAAUACAAAAGUCAGCCCAGCUU